rnacentral:rRNA from 1 species
AUUGAACGCUGGCGGCAGGCCUAACACAUGCAAGUCGAGCGGAUGACGGGAGCUUGCUCCUUGAUUCAGCGGCGGACGGGUGAGUAAUGCCUAGGAAUCUGCCUGGUAGUGGGGGACAACGUUUCGAAAGGAACGCUAAUACCGCAUACGUCCUACGGGAGAAAGCAGGGGACCUUCGGGCCUUGCGCUAUCAGAUGAGCGUAGGUCGGAUUAGCUAGUUGGUGGGGUAAUGGCUCACCAAGGCGACGAUACGUAACUGGUCUGAGAGGAUGAUCAGUCACACUGGAACUGAGACACGGUCCAGACUCCUACGGGAGGCAGCAGUGGGGAAUAUUGGACAAUGGGCGAAAGCCUGAUCCAGCCAUGCCGCGUGUGUGAAGAAGGUCUUCGGAUUGUAAAGCACUUUAAGUUGGGAGGAAGGGCAGUAAGUUAAUACCUUGCUGUUUUGACGUUACCGACAGAAUAAGCACCGGCUAACUCUGUGCCAGCAGCCGCAGUAAGAC